CUACGGGUGGCUGCAGUGAGGAAUAUUGCGCAAUGGGGGAAACCCUGACGCAGCGACGCCGCGUGGGUGAAGAAGGCCUUCGGGUCGUAAAGCCCUGUCAAGGGGGAAGAACACCCUGGCGGUUAAUACCCGCCAGGACUGACGGUACCCCUGAAGGAAGCACCGGCUAACUCCGUGCCAGCAGCCGCGGUAAUACGGAGGGUGCGAGCGUUGUUCGGAAUUACUGGGCGUAAAGCGAGUGUAGGCUGUCCAUUAAGUCAUAUGUGAAAUCCCACGGCUCAACCGUGGAAGUGCAUCUGAAACUAGUGGACUUGAGUACCGGAGAGGGAAGUGGAAUUCCUGGUGUAGGGGUGAAAUCCGUAGAUAUCAGGAGGAACACCGGUGGCGAAGGCGACUUCCUGGACGGAUGCUGACGCUGAGACUCGAAAGCGUGGGGAGCAAACAGGAUUAGAUACCCCUGUAGUC
rnacentral:rRNA from 1 species